GCUACCAUGCAGUCGAGCGGUAGCACAGGGAGCUUGCUCCUGGGUGACAAGCGGCGGACGGGUGAGUAAUGUCUGGGAAACUGCCUGAUGGAGGGGGAUAACUACUGGAAACGGUAGCUAAUACCGCAUAACGUCGCACGACCAAAGAGGGGGACCUUCGGGCCUCUUGCCAUCAGAUGUGCCCAGAUGGGAUUAGCUAGUAGGUGGGGUAAUGGCUCACCUAGGCGACAAUCCCUAGCUGGUCUGAGAGGAUGACCAGCCACACUGGAACUGAGACACGGUCCACACUCCUACGGGAGGCAGCAGUGGGGAAUAUUGCACAAUGGGCGCAAGCCUGAUGCACCCAUGCCGCGUGUAUGAAAAAAGCCUUCGGGUUGUAAAGUACUUUCACCGAGGAGGAAGGCAUUGUGGUUAAUAACCCCAGUGAUUGACGUUACUCUCACAAAAAACACCGGCUAACUCCGUGCCACCAGCCGCGGUAAUACGGAGGGUGCAAGCGUUAAUCGGAAUUACUGGGCGUAAAGCGCACGCACGCGGUCUGUCAAGUCGGAUGUGAAAUCCCCGGGCUCAACCUGGGAACUGCAUUCUAAACUGGCAGGCUAUAGUCUUGUAUAGGGGGGUAGAAUUCCAGGUGUAUCGGUGAAAUGCGUAUAGAUCUGGAGGAAUACCGGUGGCGAAAGCGGCCCCCUGGACAAAGACUGACGCUCACGUGCGAAAGCGUGGGGAGCAAACAGGAUUAUAUACCCUGGUAGUCCACGCCCUAUACGAUGUCUACUUGUAGGUUGUUCCCUUGAGGAGUGGCUUCCCGAGCUAACGCGUUAAGUCUACCGCCUGGGGAGUACAGCCGCACGUG
rnacentral:rRNA from 1 species